rnacentral:misc_RNA from 1 species
GAUGAAGAACGCAGUGAAAUGCGAUAAUUAAUGUGAAUUGCAGAAUUCCGUGAAUCAUCGAGUCUUUGAACGCACAUUGCGCCUCAUGGCAUUCCGUGAGGCAUGCCCAUCUCAGCGUUAGAAAAUAUUCUCAAAUUUUAGUUUUGUGCUAAAAUUUGGAUCAUGUCAAAGAAGCUAUUACUAUUAUUGUGAUCGCUCUUUGGAAAUUGAUAGGUCUUUGAGUUGCUACUCAUAGAACGUGAUGAAUCUUUCUUCGUUCUAUUGUAAUUCACUCUGGUAGUCCUAAAACUUGUAUGCCUGUGGCAUAUCUUGUAAUUUGACCUGAGAUUGGGUAGGGAUACCCACUGAACUUAAGCAUAUCAAUAAGCGGAGGA